rnacentral:rRNA from 1 species
GACGAACGCUGGCGGCGUGCCUAAUACAUGCAAGUAGAACGCUGAAGGAGGGGCUUGCUUCUCUGGAUGAGUUGCGAACGGGUGAGUAACGCGUAGGUAACCUGCCUGGUAGCGGGGGAUAACUAUUGGAAACGAUAGCUAAUACCGCAUAAGAGUAGAUGUUGCAUGACAUUUGCUUAAAAGGUGCAAUUGCAUCACUACCAGAUGGACCUGCGUUGUAUUAGCUAGUUGGUGGGGUAACGGCUUACCAAGGCGACGAUACAUAGCCGACCUGAGAGGGUGAUAGGCCACACUGGGACUGAGACACGGCCCAGACUCCUACGGGAGGCAGCAGUAGGGAAUCUUCGGCAAUGGACGGAAGUCUGACCGAGCAACGCCGCGUGAGUGAAGAAGGUUUUCGGAUCGUAAAGCUCUGUUGUAAGAGAAGAACGAGUGUGAGAGUGGAAAGUUCACACUGUGACGGUAUCUUACCAGAAAGGGACGGCUAACUACGUG